UACGAGGGGGACGAGCGUUGUUCGGAAUUAUUGGGCGUAAAGGGUCCGUAGGCGGUGCGGUAAGUCGGGAGUGAAAUCUCUGGGCUUAACUCAGAGGCUGCUUCCGAAACUACCGUGCUAGAGUGCGAGAGAGGCAAGUGGAAUUGCGGGUGUAGCGGUGAAAUGCGUAGAUAUCCGCAGGAACAUCCGAGGCGAAAGCGGCUUGCUGGAUCGCAACUGACGCUGAGGGACGAAAGCUAGGGGAGCAAACAGG
rnacentral:rRNA from 1 species